rnacentral:lncRNA from 1 species
UGUUUUUUUUCUUCAAAAACAACUUAGGAGGAAAUGCAUCUCCUAUGGGUAAAACUUAACUUUGAGGAAGUGCGUCUCCUGUGGGUACAAUAAACUUAGGAAGUGCGUCUCCUAUGGGUACAAUAAACUUAGGAAGUGCGUCUCCUAUUAGGGAUAACUGUUCUUAGGAAGUGCGUCUCCUACUGGGUGAAACUAAACUUUAGGAAGUGCGUCUCCUAUGAUAAACUGAACUUAGGAAGUGCGUUUCCUAUGGUAAAACUGAACUUAGGAGGAAAUGCAUCUCCUAUGGGUGAAACUGAAACAAACCUAGGAGAAAAUGCGUCUCCUAUGGGUAAAACUAAACAAACCUAGGAGGAAAUGCAUCUCCUAUGGGUAAAACUAAAACUUAGGAGGAAAUGCAUCUCCUAUGGGUAAAGACGUGGAAU